AUCCUAUUACCUCCGUCCGAAAAUACUUGUCAUCAAAAUGGACAAAAAAGAUAUAUAUAGAAUUAAAAUACAUCUAGAUACAUCCUCUUUUAUUCAUUUUGAUAACAAGUAUUUCCAGACGGAAUGAGUAUGAC
rfam:Triticum urartu cultivar G1812 contig444461, whole genome shotgun sequence.